GUUCUUCAUCCUCGUGAGCCUCGUCUUCGUCACGCAGCUUGUGGGCGCUGUCCUCUUCCUGGUGCACUGGAAAGAGAUCAGCCCAGAGCUCUUCCUGGCUGAGCUGCGGAGGAACUACUGCGGGGAUGAGGAUGCUGAAGUCUUCUCCACGGCCUGGAACACCGUCAUGAUCACGUUCUCGUGCUGUGGCGUUUCAGGGCCUGAGGACUUUGGGAAUGGGUCCCGCUUCCAGGAGCUGCAGCCAGGUUCGCCCUGGCCGCGGGCGUGCUGCACCCGCCAUGGGCUCCUGCAGGCAGGCGAGCUGCUGGGCUGGGGGCGCUGCCGCCAGAGGGGCCCGGGCUACAUCCACGAGCAGGGCUGUUUCUCCACCAUUGGC